rnacentral:rRNA from 1 species
GAUGAACGCUGGCGGCGUGCCUAAUACAUGCAAGUCGAGCGAACAGAUGAGGAGCUUGCUCCUCUGACGUUAGCGGCGGGCGGGUGAGUAACACGUGGAUAACCUACCUAUAAGACUGGGAUAACUUCGGGAAACCGGAGCUAAUACCGGAUAAUAUAUUGAACCGCAUGGUUCAAUAGUGAAAGACGGUUUUGCUGUCACUUAUAGAUGGAUCCGCGCCGCAUUAGCUAGUUGGUAAGGUAACGGCUUACCAAGGCAACGAUGCGUAGCCGACCUGAGAGGGUGAUCGGCCACACGGGAACUGAGACACGGUCCAGACUCCUACGGGAGGCAGCAGUAGGGAAUCUGCCGCAAUGGGCGAAAGCCUGACGGAGCAACGCCGCGUGAGUGAUGAAGGUCUUCGGAUCGUAAAACUCUGUUAUUAGGGAAGAACAAAUGUGUAAGUAACUAUGCACGUCUUGACGGUACCUAAUCAGAAAGCCACGGCUAACUACGUG